UGCUAAUGUCUGCAUUGGUGUUUUAGCUGCAGUAUGGCAGAGGAGCGAGUAAAGGACUCUCUCUCAGAGAAACACAGUGUGAGAUCAGGAUCACGUGUGUCCAGCUCUGUGUCUCUGAAGAGUGACCAUUCUAAAGGUUAUCCACCAAACCUCAGUGGGAAAACACCAUCAUCAGUCAAAAGUUUUGAAUACGAGUUACCAGAUUCAAGAAACAAUACUUACAGAAGCCAAAAGAGUUUCCGAGGCAAUCUCCUGAUGAUCUUCC